rnacentral:rRNA from 1 species
AUUGAACGCUGGCGGCAUGCCUUACACAUGCAAGUCGAACGGUAACAGGUCUCCGGAUGCUGACGAGUGGCGAACGGGUGAGUAAUACAUCGGAACGUGCCCGAGAGUGGGGGAUAACGAGGCGAAAGCUUUGCUAAUACCGCAUACGAUCUCAGGAUGAAAGCAGGGGACCGCAAGGCCUUGCGCUCACGGAGCGGCCGAUGGCAGAUUAGGUAGUUGGGGGGAUAAAAGCUUACCAAGCCGACGAUCUGUAGCUGGUCUGAGAGGACGACCAGCCACACUGGGACUGAGACACGGCCCAGCCUCCUACGGGAGGCAGCAGUGGGGAAUUUUGGACAAUGGGCGCAAGCCUGAUCCAGCCAUGCCGCGUGCAGGAUGAAGGCCUUCGGGUUGUAAACUGCUUUUGUACGGAACGAAAAGACUCUGGUUAAUACCUGGGGUCCAUGACGGUACCGUAAGAAUAAGCACCGGCUAACUACGUGCCAGCAGCCGCCGUAACAC